GACAACUAAAUGCAGUACCCAACCCUGCACUGAAUCCUGUGGAGGAGAAUGAAGUGCUGGAAAGAACAUUAUUAGAUUGACUGACAAAAUCAGGAUACAGCUGCCAGAUUAGAUGAAAGAUUACAUCAAUGGUCUCCAAUUGGCUGAAUCCUCCUGGUAGCCGGUGGGCAAGGGAGCCUACUGAUGCGGUCUACAGAGAGUCAAAGAUCUCCUGUGACCAGAAAUGGUCUCUCCGGCCACUGACUCUACUAUUCCUCUUAGUUGCCGUCCCUUGUAGCGAGUUUUUGUCCCUCUCUCCAUGGUUCUACAACAGGACCCGUUCAACUUUAGAGACCAGA